UUAAUUGAAACCAAAUAGAGGUUUACCACUGUUAAUGGUAAUAUUGAAUAUUUAUUAUUCCAAUUAAA
rnacentral:tRNA from 1 species